rnacentral:lncRNA from 1 species
UCAUUUUCACCUUUUUAACCUCGGUUCGAGGUAGUAGUAGCGUCAAUAAGCGACAAAAUCAUUUAGACCAGCAUUUGUCAAGAUCUCGUAGAAUUCGAAUUUCCAGGUUCGAAAAAUGAGUCAGCAAGAUACUUCCCUUUGAGGAUUGGAUGCUCAAAGAAAUGUGUAGAGAACCUUUCAUAUUGGUUGUCGUUGGAGAACAGUUCAUUACUUGUAACUGAGGGCGAAAGUGGAGCGGAUUGCGGUCGUCGAUUUUGAGGCCCCCCUAUCAAAGACGAAGCCCUGGGUUUCUUGUGAGCGCGAGAUGCCAUUUGGGGAUAUUAGGGUUUACAAAGGGUUAUGAGCUUAAAUGGAUUGUGGGUGAUUAAUAGGGUUUUAAUACAGGGAAGUAGGUUACACUUGUAUUUAAUUCGAAUGGGUUAGUGGGUGACAGCAAAAACUGUCAACGCAUCCUGGUUUGUAACAGAAGGAAGGAUAUCAAACGUGGUCUGCAACAGAAACUGUCAGGUGCAGUUAUAUAAUCGAUUACAAGUCCU